rnacentral:rRNA from 1 species
GAUGAACGCUGGCGGCGUGCUUAAUACAUGCAAGUCGAGCGAACAGACGAGGCGCUUGCUCCUCUGACGUUAGCGGCGGACGGGAGAGUAACACGUGGAUAACCUACUUAUCAGACUGGGAUCAUUUCGGGAAACCGGAGCUAAUACCGGAUAAUAUAUUGCACCGCAUGGUUCAAUAGUGAAAGACGGCUUUGCUGUCUCUUCUAGAUGGAUCUGCGCCGCAUUAGCUAGUUGGUAAGGUAACGGCUUACCACGGCAACGAUGCGUGGCCGACCGGAGAGAGUGAUCGGCCACACUGGAACGGAGACGCGGUCCAGACUCCUACGGGAGGCAGCAGUAGGGAAUCUUCCGCAAUGGGCGAAAGCCUGACGGAGCAACGCCGCGUGAGUGAUGAAGGUCUUCGGAUCGUAAUACUCUGUUAUUAGGGAAGAACAAAUGUGUAAGUAACUAUGCACGUCUUGACGGUACCUAAUCAGAAAGCCACGGCUAACUACGUG